rnacentral:rRNA from 1 species
UACGAAGGGAGCUAGCGUUGUUCGGGAUCACUGGGCGUAAAGCGCACGUAGGCGGACGUGUCAGUCAGGGGUGAAAUCCCGGAGCUCAACUUCGGAACUGCCUUUGAUACAGCACGUCUUGAGUCCGGAAGAGGUGGGUGGAAUUCCUAGUGUAGAGGUGAAAUUCGUAGAUAUUAGGAAGAACACCGGUGGCGAAGGCGGCCCACUGGUCCGGUACUGACGCUGAGGUGCGAAAGCGUGGGGAGCAAACAGG